UAAAUCAGUCAUACCAGUUGUUGCGCUGUUAGUGUGCUUCCUCAAUAUCAAGUUCGGAACAAUCCUGCAAAGCCCAGUUGACAAUACCUAAACCAGCAUAGAACACAAUAGGGGUAAUUAAAAAUUGCAAUCCUAUUUUGCCAAACAAUCGGGUGCUACAAAAGUUGUAGUUUAAACUACCGCCCGGACAACCAACGCCAACAGCACGGUAGAGAGCAUCGUCAACUUAGGGUGUCGCAUCACCAUGAGAGCCGCAAUGAUCAGUAUCUGGUCACCAAACUUUACCUUGCAAGGGAUGAACAUGCAUUAAUCAUUAGAGGCACAUAAACAGUAUAUGCAUGCACAUGUAGGAGAGCAAAUUCACAAAAUAUAAUCUCCGGGUUUCACCUAAAUUACCUUAAAUUAUCGAGUCAGUACACACCUAGGUAGAAUUAUAUUGUACAUCAAAUCGCCCCAAAUCCUCGACCAGCUCCCCAAAUCAAAUUUGAAACAUAGCACAGAGCACCGUCAGAUGCGGGUGGACCAGUAUCAUGUGCUCGAGGAUGCGAGCUUCUAGGCCUGCUUGACGUGAUUGCAGACGAUAGGAGGGAGACGGCCUGCUAUUGCAACUUCUCCUCGUUGCGACCGAUGACGGGGUUGAACUUCUCAUCGUCUUUGUGUAGAUUAAGAGGUCCAAGGCAUCGGAAGUGGCGUCCUACAGAAGCAUGGCAGGGAAGUGGGUGAGCGUGAUUGAGUCUAGGGCCAACUCGACCCCGUGGCGGGCUGCUGGAGGCCGCUUUGUGGUGGCGCGCACGCCCACCGGUCAUGGUGGUGAAAACGGCACUAUCCUGAGUGCCCAUGUCGGAUUCCACGACUCGGCUUACAUCCCCAUCGGCAUGUUUGCUAUCCUCCGUCUUCCCCCUCCUAGUCCCUAGAUCUGUCGCGCA
rnacentral:lncRNA from 1 species